UGGGGAAUAUUGGACAAUGGGCGGAAGCCUGAUCCAGCAACGCCGCGCGAGGGAUGACGGCCUUCGGGUUGUAAACCUCUUUCACCGAUGACAAAGCGCAAGUGACGGUAGUCGGAGAAGAAGCACCGGCCAACUACGUGCCAGCAGCCGCGGUAAUACGUAGGGUGCGAGCGUUGUCCGGAAUUAUUGGGCGUAAAGGGCUCGUAGGCGGUUUGUCGCGUCGGGAGUGAAAACACCGGGCUUAACUCGGUGCUUGCUUUCGAUACGGGCAGACUAGAGGUAUGCAGGGGAGAACGGAAUUCCUGGUGUAGCGGUGAAAUGCGCAGAUAUCAGGAGGAACACCGGUGGCGAAGGCGGUUCUCUGGGCAUUACCUGACGCUGAGGAGCGAAAGCGUGGGGAGCGAA
rnacentral:rRNA from 1 species